rnacentral:rRNA from 1 species
GAUGAACGCUAGCUGCAAGCUUAACACAUGCAAGUCGAGGGGUAACGAGAGGAAAGCUUGCUUUCCUUGUCGACGACCGGCGCACGGGUGAGUAACGCGUAUCCAACCUGCCCCCAACUAAGGAAUAACCUUGCGAAAGUAAGACUAAUACCUUAUAUUUUCCUCAGAUGACAUCUGACGAGGAAUAAAGAUUUAUCGGUUGUGGUUGGGGAUGCGUCUGAUUAGCUUGUUGGCGGGGUAACGGCCCACCAAGGCAACGAUCAGUAGGGGUUCUGAGAGGAAGGUCCCCCACAUUGGAACUGAGACACGGUCCAAACUCCUACGGGAGGCAGCAGUGAGGAAUAUUGGUCAAUGGGCGAAAGCCUGAACCAGCCAAGUAGCGUGCAGGAUGACGGCCCUAUGGGUUGUAAACUGCUUUUAUACAGGAAUAAAGUUAGCCACGUGUGGUUAUUUGUAGGUACUGUAUGAAUAAGGACCGGCUAAUUCCGUGCCAGCCGCCGCCGUAA